UACGUAGGGGGGCAAGCGUUGUCCGGAAUUAUUGGGCGUAAAGAGCGUGUAGGCGGUCCGGUAAGUCGGCUGUGAAAGUCCAGGGCUCAACCCUGGGAUGCCGGUCGAUACUGCCGGACUAGAGUUCGGAAGAGGCGAGUGGAAUUCCCCGGUGUAGCGGUGAAAUGCGCAGAUAUCGGGAGGAACACCUAUGGCGAAGGCAGCUCGCUGGGACGUUACUGACGCUGAGGCGCGAAAGCUAGGGAGCAAACAGG
rnacentral:rRNA from 1 species